rnacentral:rRNA from 1 species
UACGUAGGGACCAAGCGUUGUUCGGAUUUACUGGGCGUAAAGGGCGCGUAGGUGGCCUGUGCAAGCGUGCGGUGAAAGCUCGGGGCUCAACCCCGAGUCGGCCGUGCGAACUGCUGGGCUCGAGCACUGUAGAGGCAGGCGGAAUUCCGGGUGUAGCGGUGGAAUGCGUAGAGAUCCGGAAGAACACCGGUGGCGAAGGCGGCCUGCUGGGCAGUGGCUGACACUGAGGCGCGACAGCGUGGGGAGCAAACAGG